rnacentral:rRNA from 1 species
UACGAAGGGGGCUAGCGUUGCUCGGAAUCACUGGGCGUAAAGCGCACGUAGGCGGAUUGUUAAGUCAGGGGUGAAAUCCUGGAGCUCAACUCCAGAACUGCCUUUGAUACUGGCGAUCUCGAGUCCGGGAGAGGUGAGUGGAACUGCGAGUGUAGAGGUGAAAUUCGUAGAUAUUCGCAAAGAACACCAGUGGCGAAGGCGGCUCACUGGGCCCGGUACUGACGCUGAGGUGCGAAAGCGUGGGGAGCAACAGG